rnacentral:rRNA from 1 species
AAAUUGAAGAGUUUGAUCAUGGCUCAGAUUGAACGCUGGCGGCAGGCCUAACACAUGCAAGUCGAACGGUAACAGGAAGCAGCUUGCUGCUUUGCUGACGAGUGGCGGACGGGUGAGUAAUGUCUGGGAAACUGCCUGAUGGAGGGGGAUAACUACUGGAAACGGUGGCUAAUACCGCAUAACGUCGCAAGACCAAAGAGGGGGACCUUCGGGCCUCUUGCCAUCAGAUGUGCCCAGAUGGGAUUAGCUAGUUGGUGAGGUAACGGCUCACCAAGGCGACGAUCCCUAGCUGGUCUGAGAGGAUGACCAGCCACACUGGAACUGAGACACGGUCCAGACUCCUACGGGAGGCAGCAGUGGGGAAUAUUGCACAAUGGGCGCAAGCCUGAUGCAGCCAUGCCGCGUGUAUGAAGAAGGCCUUCGGGUUGUAAAGUACUUUCAGCGGGGAGGAAGGUGUUGUGGUUAAUAACCACAGCAAUUGACGUUACCCGCAGAAGAAGCACCGGCUAACUCCGUGCCAGCAGCCGCGGUAAUACGGAGGGUGCAAGCGUUAAUCGGAAUUACUGGGCGUAAAGCGCACGCAGGCGGUCUGUCAAGUCGGAUGUGAAAUCCCCGGGCUCAACCUGGGAACUGCAUUCGAAACUGGCAGGCUUGAGUCUUGUAGAGGGGGGUAGAAUUCCAGGUGUAGCGGUGAAAUGCGUAGAGAUCUGGAGGAAUACCGGUGGCGAAGGCGGCCCCCUGGACAAAGACUGACGCUCAGGUGCGAAAGCGUGGGGAGCAAACAGGAUUAGAUACCCUGGUAGUCCACGCCGUAAACGAUGUCUACUUGGAGGUUGUGCCCUUGAGGCGUGGCUUCCGGAGCUAACGCGUUAAGUAGACCGCCUGGGGAGUACGGCCGCAAGGUUAAAACUCAAAUGAAUUGACGGGGGCCCGCACAAGCGGUGGAGCAUGUGGUUUAAUUCGAUGCAACGCGAAGAACCUUACCUGGUCUUGACAUCCACAGAACUUUCCAGAGAUGGACUGGUGCCUUCGGGAACUGUGAGACAGGUGCUGCAUGGCUGUCGUCAGCUCGUGUUGUGAAAUGUUGGGUUAAGUCCCGCAACGAGCGCAACCCUUAUCCUUUGUUGCCAGCGGUUAGGCCGGGAACUCAAAGGAGACUGCCAGUGAUAAACUGGAGGAAGGUGGGGAUGACGUCAAGUCAUCAUGGCCCUUACGACCAGGGCUACACACGUGCUACAAUGGCGCAUACAAAGAGAAGCGACCUCGCGAGAGCAAGCGGACCUCAUAAAGUGCGUCGUAGUCCGGAUUGGAGUCUGCAACUCGACUCCAUGAAGUCGGAAUCGCUAGUAAUCGUGGAUCAGAAUGCCACGGUGAAUACGUUCCCGGGCCUUGUACACACCGCCCGUCACACCAUGGGAGUGGGUUGCAAAAGAAGUAGGUAGCUUAACCUUCGGGAGGGCGCUUACCACUUUGUGAUUCAUGACUGGGGUGAAGUCGUAACAAGGUAACCGUAGGGGAACCUGCGGUUGGA